GGAAAUAAUGAUAGCCGUUCCCCUUUUUUUCUUGUUACCUUCUAAAUUUGCCGCAUAAACUGUAGGGAAUUUUUUAUAUUUCCAUAGUCUAUCAGAAGUAUCAAUCCAAUGAGUCUCCUGGAUAAAAGCUACAUCUAUUGAGUUUUCAAUUAAAAAUUUGUAUACAGCUCCCCUUUUUUGAGGUGAGUUCAUACCCUGGACAUUCCAAGUAAUUAUUUUAAGGGACAUCCCUGAUCCAAGAGUCCCCCUCC